UUCUAGAGUAAGGAGUUUUGCUGGCCUCAAGCCUUCCAGGAGAAAUGGAGACCCUAUACAUACCUGUUUCCAUGCCUCCUAGAAGUUCCGAAGCCAGGGUAAGAGUUCUCAUUCUAGAA
rnacentral:precursor_RNA from 1 species